UACAGAGGUCCCAAGCGUUGUUCGGAAUUACUGGGCGUAAAGCGCACGUAGGCGGCUUUGUAAGUUAGAGGUGAAAGCCCGGGGCUCAACUCCGGAAUUGCCUUUAAGACUGCAUCGCUAGAAUUGUGGAGAGGUGAGUGGAAUUCCGAGUGUAGAGGUGAAAUUCGUAGAUAUUCGGAAGAACACCAGUGGCGAAGGCGACUCACUGGACACAUAUUGACGCUGAGGUGCGAAAGCGUGGGGAGCAAACAGG
rnacentral:rRNA from 1 species